rnacentral:rRNA from 1 species
AGUGAACGCUGGCGGUAGGCCUAACACAUGCAAGUCGAACGGCAGCACAGUAAGAGCUUGCUCUUACGGGUGGCGAGUGGCGGACGGGUGAGGAAUACGUCGGAAUCUACUUUUUCGUGGGGGAUAACGUAGGGAAACUUACGCUAAUACCGCAUACGACCUACGGGUGAAAGCAGGGGAUCUUCGGACCUUGCGCGAUUGAAUGAGCCGAUGUCGGAUUAGCUAGUUGGCGGGGUAAAGGCCCACCAAGGCGACGAUCCGUAGCUGGUCUGAGAGGAAGAUCAGCCACACUGGAACUGAGACACGGUCCAGACUCCUACGGGAGGCAGCAGUGGGGAAUAUUGGACAAUGGGCGCAAGCCUGAUCCAGCCAUACCGCGUGGGUGAAGAAGGCCUUCGGGUUGUAAAGCCCUUUUGUUGGGAAAGAAAAGCAGCAGGUUAAUACCCCGCUGUUCUGACGGUACCCAAAGAAUAAGCACCGGCUAACUUCGUG